CAGUCGCCGCGGGAAUACGUAGGUGGCAGGCGUUGUCCGGUAUUAUUGGGCGUAAAGCGUGCGCAGGCGGUUUUGUAAGACAGGCGUGAAAUCCCCGGGCUCAACCUGGGAAUGGCGCUUGUGACUGCAAAGCUAGAGUGCGGCAGAGGGGGAUGGAAUUCCGCGUGUAGCAGUGAAAUGCGUAGAUAUGCGGAGGAACACCGAUGGCGAAGGCAAUCCCCUGGGCCUGCACUGACGCUCAUGCACGAAAGCGUGGGGAGCAAACAGGAUUAGAUACCCCCGUAGUCCCUGUCUCUUAUAC
rnacentral:rRNA from 1 species